UGGCAAUGGGAACCUCGAUAGUUGUAUCUCUCUUUUGAUGGACCAGUUCCAUCUCCUCCUCCUCUUCCUCAGCAACCUCAGAACUUUCCACAGCCUUUUCUUUUCCUUUUUCCUUCUUCUUUUUCAUACUCUUCUCUAAAGCUUUCUGUAGUUCUGCCUCACUUUGCUUUAGUUUUCUCCUUGUGACUCUUUCCCUAGGUACAGAAGUAGCAGCAGUCUUGGGAGAUGAUGCUUUGCUUUUCUUUACUGAUUCAGAAGCAACUGGGGUCCAUUG
rnacentral:lncRNA from 1 species